AUGUACGGCAGCAGCACCGGCCCUUUCUUGCCUCAACACCACGGCUUCAUCCACCCCGGGGACGAUCGCUGCACCGGCAAGGUCGUUCCUGCGUUGGUCGAGCAAGCCACGGCCGGAGUCGCCGAGGAGGUGGAGUUCGACGCGUGCAAGGAGGGGGGAGGCGACGUCGCGGUGGUGGGUCAAGAGAGGCAGCAGCAUGAUCAGGACGCGCCGAAGCCGGGCGAGGAGGAGAAGGAGGCCCAGGGCGUGCGGAUGAUCGCGCUGCUCAUGGAGUGCGCCGUGGCCAUGUCGGUGGGCAACCUCGCCGACGCCAACGGGACGCUCCUCGAGCUGUCGCAGAUGGCCUCCCCCUACGCGCCGUCCUGCGGCGAGCGCCUCGUGGCCUACUUCGCCAGGGCCAUGGCGGCGCGGCUCAUGAGCUCCUGGGUCGGCGUCUGCGCGCCCGUGCACCCGUCCUCCGCCUCCUCCUGGUCCGGCGUCCACGCCGCGUUCCGGGCCUUCCACAACGUCGCGCCGUUCGCGAGGUGCGCCUACCUGGCGUGCAACCAGGCCAUCCUGGAGGCGUUCCGCGGCAAGCGCCUGGUCCACGUCGUCGACCUCGACGUCGUGCCGGGCGGCGCGCUGCAGUGGCUCUCGCUGCUCUCCGCGCUCGCGGCCCGGCCCGGUGGCCCGCCGGUGCUCCGCGUCACGGGCUUCGGCGUCUCGGCGUCGGCGCUGCACGACGCCGGCACCCAGCUCGCCGGGCUGGCCACCAAGCUGGGCAUGCCGUUCGAGUUCUACGCCGUCGCGAAGCGCCCCGGAGACGUCGUCGACGCCGUGGCCGACCUGCCGAGCAGGAGGCCCGGCGAGGUCGUCGCCGUGCACUGGCUCCGUCACGCCCUGUACGACGCGGCCGGGGACGACGUUGUCACGAUGCGUCUGGUGCGGUGGCUCGAGCCUAAGGUGGUCACGCUGGUGGAGCAGGAGAGGGGGCCUGCCGGCGGUGACGGCGGCCAGUUCCUGGACCGCUUCGUCGCCGCGCUGCACCACUACUCGGCGGUGUUCGACGCCCUAGGCGCCGCGCGGCCGGCCGACGGCGACGCCAGCAGGCACCUGGUAGAGAACGGCGUCCUGGGCAGGGAAAUCGGGAACGUGCUGGCGGUUGCCGGGCCGACGAGGAGCGGGCGGGAGAUGUUCGGAAGCUGGCAGGUGGAGCUCGCACGAAAUGGUUUCCUGCGCGCCGGCGCCGUUGGGCGCGCGCAGGUGCUCGCCGGUGCGUGCCCGGCGGGGCUGGGCUACACGGUGGCGGAUGACCAUGACGGCACGGUGCGGCUGGGGUGGAAGGGCACCCCACUCUACGCCGUCUCGACGUGGACGUGCUGCACCACGGCCCAUGCACGAGCUUAA
rnacentral:rRNA from 1 species